CAUGUAUUUUCAAUUCGACCAGCCAAAAAAGUGUAGGAUACACUGCUUCUGCAUAGAAAAUAAAUUUCCUGUCCCCCAUACACGAAAAGCAAAAAGUGCAUGUUAUCCGCUGGCGAACCGAAUGCAGCAAGCAGGCUAGCAGGCAGUGGCUAGCUAGCCAUCUCCCUCUGGCCAUUCCGCAUCUCCGCUACCGCGACCGCGACCGCAUCCCAAAAUCCGGAGGAGAGUCCGCGUUUAGCGUUUUUCCCCACUUGUGUGUGUUUUUUGUUAUGAAUAUAUCGAAGGUGACAACAUCGCUUGGUGGCGCCGAAAAGGCGAAGCCCGCAACUUCCGCGACAGCCGUUGUCGUUGCAGCAGGGAGCGGAAGUGCCACAGUUGGUGGCAGUGGCGCUACUGCUGGUGGUGGUGCUGGUGCUGGUGCAGCACCCAUAUUCAAUGCUGUCAGCAUACAGAAGCGUUCCAGUGCCGAGGACACUGCCGAGGACUCUACCGCCGCUCGCAAGAAGCAAAAGACAACAGAACUGAUAAUCGCCAAGAGCGCCACCACUUCGAAUCCCACACAGCAGUUGCUCUACCAACUGAAGCCGAAGAACGCCAGCGACCAGGCCGACAACCAGCAGCAGGAGGAUGCCACCGUGUGGACGUCCGGCGACCAGCAACAGAUCAUAUUGUGCAAUUUCGGCGAGAUGAGUGCAAUAAAGUCUCAGGAUGAGUCCGAAAAGCAGACCUUCAGCUUUACCAAAAAAGAGGCCGGCUCAUCCAGCUCGUCCUCCUCCUCGACAGCCUCGAUUUUAUCGCUGGAGCCCAGUGGCUCUGGCCAGGAUCCGGGCGAUAGCCAGCCCGUGGGCAAGACCGAAGACCUGGACUUUGUGCUGAUGCCCGCCGCCAGUGCGGACAACUCGACAGCAAGUGUGUCCUCAGGAGGGGGAAGUAGCUCCGGCAUAGCCUCCACCAUCAUUCUGAACGCCAACAAUGGCGGAACGACGACGACGACGGGCGUGGCGGGCACCACCACCACCAUUCUUACCCAGAAGGCGGGUCAGGCGAACUUCAACAUCUUCAACGCCACCACCGCAACGGGCAGUCAGACGCCGACGACCACGAUCCUCAACCGGAUGAACCUGCAGUCGAAGAUGAAGACCACCCAGCUGGUGGUUAAUGCCAAGAAGCUAUCGGAGGUCACCCAGACCACGGCGAAGGUGUCCAUUGGCAAUAAGACGAUAUCGGUGCCGCUGCUGAAGCCGCUGAUGAGUGCCAGCGGCGUGGCGACCGCCGGUGGGGCCACCAUCGUGGAGAGCAAGCAGCUCCUGCAGGCGGCGGGCGGCCAGGUGACCGCCAAUGCGGUGGUCAGUGCUGCCGGUGUGGCUGCCGGCCAGCAGGUGCAUGCCCAUGGCCAUCCGCAGGCGCGCCAACACCACAACUUCACCAACCUGAUCAAGCGCGGUCCGAAGAACCCCGCCACGAUAGUCUCCUUCUCCGGGCUGCAGAUCAAACCGGCCACUACGAAAAUCGUCGCCGCCAAGGUGGUCAGCAAGAAGAUGUCGCUCCAGCUCCAGCAACAGCAGCUCCAGCAGCAGCACACCCAGCAGCAGCUCCAGGUGACGAGUGGCGCCAGCCUGGCCCCGGCCACCGGUAGCAUUGUCACCAUAACCACCACCAAUCCCAGCCAGACGUACGCCAUGGUCCAAGAUGCGGCAGCAGGCGCCGGAGCAGGAACUAAUUCCAGCUCCAUGGCGGAGGAUGAGAGCCCGGCGCCGCGCAAGAUCACCUACAACACGGAGAACAUCCACAAGAUCCUGAACAAGAGCAAGAACCAGGACCAGACGGAGCCGGAGUUCGCCAACAUCAACAGUGUGGUGAUCAAGCCCCUGGACAAGACCACCCUCAACUGCCCCACCAGCUUCAACAUCUUCAAGCAGCAGCAACAGGCCGUGACGGUGGCGGCAGCGGCAGCCCAGCAGGGUAACCAGAACCAGACUCCGGCCACCUCCUCCGCCGCCUCGGACCUGUCUUCCGCCUCCACGGUCUCCGUCUCAGCCGUCUGCAUCAAUAGCCCGGUGAUGGGCUCCCGUCCCAUCAUCUCCUUCACCAACAACAAGAACAUAUCCCUGGUCCUGUCCAAGACGACGAUGGCCCAGCAGAAGCCCAAGAUGAUAACCACCACCACCAUGGCCACCAUGCAUCAGGCCCUCAACCAGGACUCCGCCAACGACAAGGGGACGGUGGCUGUGGCUGUCGGAGGAGGUGGAGCGGCCUCUGCCCCGCCCAUGCAGCUCAAGCUGACGCCCACCAAGCUGAGCGUGAGCCUGACCGCCAGCCAGCCGAGUGGCGUUGGUGGCCAGGAGGCCAAGCUGGAGGAGAUCGUCGCCGGUGAGCCGAAGGUGAAGCUGCUGGUGAAGCAGGAGGUGCCGGUGGCGGUGGUCAAGAGCAGGGAGGCGACCACGCCCACGGCCCAGGACACAGAGCCGGAGUCCACGCCGGAGAAGCAGCGUCUGAACGCCAGCACCACCCUGACGCCCAUCAGCCAGGUGCCAGGACCGCCGGUCGGCGUGGGGAGCACCUCGGCGCCCCAGGCCUCUACCUCGAAUCCCAGCACCCCCAACUCGAAUCCCGCCACGCCCCAGAACACGCACAACAGCCAGCGACCCGGAGCGGACGAGUCCAACAACGCUCUGCUGAAGCAGCUGCUCCAGAACACCAGCAACAGCCACAGCCUCAACCAGAUCAACAUCACAUCCGCCCACGUGGCCAACUCCGGAACCAAUCCACCGAUGUCGGCCCACGUGGCCAACGCCGCGGGCUCGGCUCCGCUGUCGGCCCGGAAAGUGAACAACGUGCGGGCGCCCUGCCUGGGACCAGCUCCCUCCAGCCUGGAGGCUCAGCUGGCGCGACCGGUGAAACCGCCCCUGCCCACGGCCACGCCUGGUAGCUCCACCACGUCCGGCAGUGGCACGACGGCUUCUGCCAACAGUAGCAGCAGCAGCAGCGCCCCCGUUGCCACCUCCACAUCCACCACAACAGUGGCGGGAGCAGGUAGCUCCUCUGUUUCCGUUGCGGGGACAGUGGUUGCCCCAGUGCCCGCCACCACGCCCGGGCCCAGUGCCACCACCGUUGGAGAAGCUAAGAUGGAGCAGAAACCAGAGGCACCUGUGGUGGUCAACCAGAACCAAGUGCCCCCGCCACCUCCGCCUCCACAACAGCAGCAGCAGCACCUGCCAGUGCAGCCACCUGUCCAACCGGCCCAGGCAUCCCAGCCAGUCCAGCCCCCAGCCCAUCCAGUCACCAAGCAGACUGUACAAAUCGUGUCCAAGGAGACCUCGUUCAUAUCGGGGCCGCCCAAGUCGGUCCAGGAAGCCAAUCCGAAGCCCACAGAGCUGCUACCACCGCCGCCGUACGAACUGGCCACGGCGCCCGUCUCCAACGUGACCAUCUCCAUAUCCACCAAGCAGCCGGCGGCCAAGGAGCUGCAGAUGAAGCCCAAGGCGGUGGCCAUGUCCCUGCCCAUGGAGCAGGGCGACGAGUCGCUGCCCGAGCAGGCGGAUCAGCCGCCGAAUCAGGAGCACGGCGCCACACCAGCACCCCCAGGAGCACCGGCCACAGCCGCAGCAGCUACAGUACCGUGGAGCAACAGCAACCACCUGGAGGCGGGUGUGGGCGCCACCAAGAUACCAUUCAAGCCGGGAGAAGCCCAAAAACGGAAGCUGCCCAUGCACCCGCAGCUGGAGGAGAAGCAACUGCAGGUGCAGCUCCAGCAGCUGGUCGAUCCCGGCCAGGUGACGCCCGGCACUCCCACGCCGGACAAGGUCCAUCUCAUAUCGUCGGUGCUGACGGGCUACGUAAAGAAACCGGGAACUGGCGGCGAGACGACCAUCCAGGCCGUGCCCAGCCAGAGCCAGGGCCAGGUGCAGAUGCAGGCCCAGAUGCAGGCGGCCAUGCAGGGUCAGUUGCAGGGACAGAUUCCGGGCCAGUUGGCGGGACAAAUGCCCAACCAGAUUCAGGGCCAGAUCCCAGCCCAAAUGCAGAUCCAAGUCCAGCAGCAGCAACACCAUCAGCAGCAGCAGCAGCAGCAUCCUCAGCAGCAGGUGCACCAGCAACACCAGGUGCUGCAGGUGGGCCAGGUCCCGGGGCAGGUGGCGAUGGGCCAGGUGGGCGGCGGAGUGCCCUCCGCCAUGCCGGUGGAGACCAAGGCGGUGGAUCAGCGGAAGCGACGUAAGCGGGAGGUCCAGAAGCCCCGACGGACCAACCUGAACGCUGCCCAGACCGCGGCGGGCGUGCUCAAGGACAUGACGGGCACUCUGCCGGCGGGAGCGAUGGUCCAGCUGACCGGGAUGCCGCCGGGCACCCACUACAUCCAGGGCGGGAGCAACAGUGUGAUCAGCAACGCCGGCUCGGGCGGAGUGACGCCCGGAGGUGUGGGAUCCGCCGCCAGCGCCUCACCGAUGAUGAAGAAGCGGGUGCGGAAGCUGUCCAAGGUGGAGGAGGACCACGACGCCUUCACCGAGAAGCUGCUGACCCACAUCCGCCAGAUGCAGCCGCUGCAGGUCCUGGAGCCGCAUCUGAAUCGCAACUUUCACUUCCUGAUGGGCAGCAACGAGACGGCCAGCACUCCUCCGGCCGGAAGCAGCGGAAGCGGAGGAGGAGCAGCAGCAGGUUCCUCAGCGGGAUCAGGCGGUGGCAAGGUCAAGGGCAGUACACUGAACGCACGGGGAUGGCCCCUGGGCAGGCAUUUGGAGGGACUGGAGGACUGCGACAGCGCCACCCUCGGGCGCUACGGUCGCGUCCGCAUCCCGGGCAUCCCUUCGCUCUACGACUCGGAUCGGUUUGGCGGCAGUGGUGGCCUGGUGGGCGGAUCGGCCGCCACACGCUCCCCGUCGCCGUCCCUUUCGCCGGGAGGAUCGGACAAGAACAGCCUGCCCCUGUCCAGCAUCCAGAAUGACUUCUACGACCAGGAGUUCUCCACGCACAUCGAGCGCAAUCCGCGGGAGCGCCUGCUCCGGCACAUCGGCGCCGUCCGGGACUGCAAUCUGGAGACCGUGGAGCUGGUGGAGAGCGACAGUGUGGCGGCGUGGGCGGCCCUGCCCCGGGUCACUCGCUACCCGGGCCUUGUGCUGCUCAAUGGGAACAGUAGGUGCCACGGGAGGAUGUCACCAGUGGCGCAGCCGGAGGAUCCCAUCACCAUGCGCGUCCCAGUAUCGCCCCUGAUCCGGUCCUGCGGCGAGGAGCUGCGCAAGAGCCAGCAACUGGAACUGGGCACUGGAUCGAAUAACAACAACAACAACAACUACCAGCAGAAGAACCAGAAUGUGAUACUCUCGCUGCCCGCCAGCUCCGGCUCGUCGGACAACAUAGCCGGCGUGCUGCGAGAUCUGGCCAAUCUGCUCCACCUGGCGCCGUCGCUGACCUGCAAGAUCCUCGACGGGGACAAGGUGCAGGUGGGCAGCGAGAAGCUGCUGCUGGAGGCCGAUCAGGAGGACAACAAGGAUGACUUCAAGCGUCCGCUGAACAUCAGCCACGGCCACCUGCGGAAGAUCCUGAACGGACGGCGGAAACUGUGCCGCAGCUGCGGGAAUGUCGUCCACGCGUCCGGGUUGCGGGUGCCCCGACACAGUCUGCCCGCGCUGGAGGAGCAGCUGCCCCGGCUGGCCCAGCUCAUGGCCAUGCUGCCGAAGAAGCCCAUCCCGGCGCCCUUCGUCUACUUCUGCGAUCGAUCCUGCUUCGCGCACUUCAAGUGGAGCGCCGGCAAGGAGAGCCAGGCGGAGGCGGCCAGCCUCCUGCUCCAGCCGGCGGGCGGCGCCUGCGCCUCCUCCACAUCCUCCUCCGCCUCGGUGUCGGCCACCGCCUCCGCCAGCGAAUCACCGUCUCCGGCUCUGGCGGAGACCGUGGUGAAGCAGGAGCCCGAGGACGAGUCGGAAAUGAAGCAUCCGGGCAUACCCGGCACCCCAAUCCAGCGCAAGUGCAUCGUCAAGUGCUUCAGUGCCGACUGCUUCGGCAGAGACACCGCCCCGACGCUGGACUUUGACGAGACGGGAAGGGUGGCGGGCACAGGAACGGGAGCUGCCAACAACACGGUCUGGGAGACGGAUGCCGGCAGCCAGCAAUUGGAGGACACGCGGCAGUGCGUCUUCUGCAACCAGCGAGGCGAUGGCCAGGCGGAUGGACCCUCCCGGCUGCUCAACUUCGAUGUGGACAAAUGGGUCCAUCUCAACUGCGCGCUGUGGUCGAAUGGCGUUUACGAGACCGUGUCCGGUGCCCUGAUGAACUUCCAGACGGCGCUCCAGGCGGGCCUCAACCAGACGUGUAGCGCCUGCCACCAGCUAGGCGCCACGAUCAAGUGCUUCAAGUCGCGCUGCAACAGUCUCUACCAUCUGCCGUGCGCGAUACGAGAGGAGUGUGUCUUCUACAAGAACAAAUCCGUCCACUGCAGCGCCCACGGUCAUCCCCACGGCAUCGGUAUCGGUGGUGCGGGUGGCGGCGGAGCCGGCAACUCCUCAGGCGGCGGCGGCGGCGGUCUGGCAUCUGGAGCUGGAAGCGAGAAUGAACUCAGCUCGCUGGUGGUCCAUCGGCGGGUGUUUGUGGAUCGCGACGAGAACCGGCAAGUGGCCACCGUGAUGCACUACUCGGAGCUGAGCAACCUGCUCCGUGUCGGCAACAUGACCUUCCUGAACGUGGGUCAGCUGCUGCCCCACCAGCUGGAGGCCUUCCACACGCCCCACUACAUCUAUCCCAUUGGGUACAAAGUGAGCCGCUACUACUGGUGUGUCCGACAGCCGAACCGAAGGUGCCGCUACAUAUGCAGCAUAGCAGAGGCUGGGUGCAAGCCCGAGUUCCGCAUCCUGGUGCAGGACGCCGGCGACAAGGAGCCGGAGCGUGAGUUCCGCGACAGCUCGCCGACAGCCGUCUGGCAGCAGAUCCUCCAGCCCAUCACCCGGCUGCGCAAGGUGCACAAGUGGCUGCAGCUCUUCCCCCAGCACAUCAGCGGCGAGGAUCUGUUCGGCCUGACCGAGCCGGCCAUCGUCCGGAUACUGGAGAGUCUGCCCGGCAUCGAGACCCUCACCGAUUAUCGCUUCAAGUACGGCCGUAAUCCUCUGCUGGAGUUCCCGCUGGCCAUUAAUCCCUCGGGCGCUGCCCGGACGGAGCCCAAGCAGCGCCAGCUCCUGGUCUGGCGGAAGCCACACACCCAGCGCACCGCCGGCAGCUGCAGCACCCAGCGCAUGGCCAACUCAGCGGCCAUCGCCGGGGAGGUGGCCUGCCCGUACAGCAAGCAGUUCGUUCACUCCAAGAGCUCCCAGUACAAGAAGAUGAAGCAGGAGUGGCGCAACAACGUGUACCUGGCGAGGUCCAAGAUCCAGGGUCUGGGUCUGUACGCCGCCCGGGAUAUUGAGAAGCACACCAUGAUCAUUGAGUACAUCGGAGAGGUCAUCCGCACGGAGGUGUCCGAGAUUCGGGAGAAGCAAUACGAGUCUAAGAAUCGCGGCAUUUACAUGUUCCGGCUGGACGAGGAUCGCGUGGUGGACGCCACUCUGAGCGGCGGCCUGGCGCGCUACAUCAACCACUCGUGCAACCCCAACUGCGUGACGGAGAUCGUGGAGGUGGACCGGGACGUGCGGAUCAUAAUAUUCGCCAAGCGGAAAAUCUAUCGCGGCGAGGAGCUCUCGUACGACUACAAGUUCGACAUCGAGGACGACGCCCACAAGAUACCCUGCGCCUGCGGUGCCCCCAACUGCCGCAAGUGGAUGAACUAAGGAGUCGGCCCCAGUGAACAGGAAUCGGAAUCGGAAUCGGAAUCGGAUACCUAUAUAGCAUAGAUAUAGCCUAGCAUAGCCCAUAGCAUCGCUAAGCAGUAUAGAACAUGUACAUAGAACCCUGAAUCGAUCUAUAUAUAUAUAUGUGUAUCCCGGGGAGUGGCGAGUGUUUCAUAGUCUAAAUUAUAAACGUUUCUAUAUAUGUACAGAUAUUUAUGUAUAAUAGACAUAUAUAGGCAGAAUAUAAAUGUUAAUGCAAGGACAUGACCACGCCCCUACUGUAUUUUAAACCACCUCCACCAUAAAUCGCAUCCAUACACUAUA
rnacentral:misc_RNA from 1 species